rnacentral:rRNA from 2 species
CCUUUGCAAACUCCGAAUACCAGUAAGUACUAUCCGGGAGACACACGGCGGGUGCUAACGUCCGUCGUGAAGAGGGAAACAACCCAGACCGCCAGCUAAGGUCCCAAAGUUAUAGCUAAGUGGGAAACGAUGUGGGAAGGCUCAGACAGCCAGGAUGUUGGCUUAGAAGCAGCCAUCAUUUAAAGAAAGCGUAAUAGCUCACUGGUCGAGUCGGCCUGCGCGGAAGAUUUAACGGGGCUAAGCUAUACACCGAAGCUGCGGCAAUGAAGUUUUACUUCAUUGGGUAGGGGAGCGUUCUGUAAGCCGUUGAAGGUGAAUCGUAAGGUUUGCUGGAGGUAUCAGAAGUGCGAAUGCUGACAUGAGUAACGAUAAAGGGAGUGAAAAACUCCCUCGCCGGAAGAUCAAGGGUUCCUGUCCAACGUUAAUCGGGGCAGGGUAAGUCGACCCCUAAGGCGAGGCCGAAAGGCGUAGUCGAUGGGAAACGGGUUAAUAUUCCCGUACUUCUUAUAAUUGCGAUGGAGGGACGGAGAAGGCUAGGUGAGCCUGGCGACGGUUGUCCAGGUCCAAGUAUGUAGGCUGAUGGUUUAGGCAAAUCCGGACCAUCUUAAGGCUGAGAUACGAUGUCGAGUUACUACGGUAACGAAGUCAUUGAUGCCAUGCUUCCGGGAAAAGCUUCUAAGCUUCAGAUUAUAAGAAAUCGUACCCCAAACCGACACAGGUGAUCAGGUAGAGAAUACCAAGCGCUUGAGAGAACUCGGGUGAAGGAACUAGGCAAAAUGGUACCGUAACUUCGGG